rnacentral:lncRNA from 10 species
UUCAGUUUAUCCUGGCUUUAUGACUGGAAAAAAAUUUUUUUUAACUCAGUGAAGCUUGAGGUCUCCCUUGUGGAAGUAUUCUACCUAUGGCAGUAAUUUUUGGUUCCUGUAACUUCAAAAUCCUAUCAAGGACUUUCUGAGCGAUAGAGGUCGGGAGGGUAAGAGCAAAACUCCAUCCAGAAAGGUGAAAACAACAAACAAAGCCUCGGGCACGGAGAUUGGGCUGCUGUUCUAGCUUCUCAUAAUAUCCCAUUUAUAGAAUACACUCAAUCCUCAACUCCAGGGUAACUUUCUGCAACAGUAAAAUUAGACUUAAAACGAAUGAGGUUCUCCAGCUCUGGCUUCUCCCGGAGACCCUGGCUUGGAAAGCCUGGAGUUGUCAGAUAUCUUUUCAUGUGCAAACGCAGGCGGAAAGUGCCUUAAAAUUAGCCGGGUGUGGUGGCACAUGCCUGUAACCCCAGCUGCUCGGGAGGCUGAGGCAGGAGAAUUGCUUAAACCCGGGAGGCAGAGGCUUCAGUGAGCCGGGAUGGCGUCAUUACACUGCAGACGGGGCAACAAGAGCGAAACUCCGUCUCAAAAGAAAAAAAAAAAAAAAAAGACCAGCUUUCUCUUAUAGUUUCCUAUUACUUUUUUUCCCAGCUAUUUUUUGUUAAACGAUCACAACCCACUUCAUUUCCCCCUCGUAGCCUCUUCUUCCCCACAGCUUUCCAUCCAGGUCUGGAAUUAGCUCUGACUUCUCUAGAAGCCCUGAGCUGAGCACGUUAGGUGCCCUACCUCCAGAAUCCUCCCAGCAUGGCCUGGAGAUUGCUGUUGUCUUGACUCUAGACUUGAAAAACCAAGGCCGGGCGCUGUGGCUCAUGCCUGUAAUCCCAGCACUUUGGGAGGCCGGGGUGGGCGGAUCACGAGGUCAGGAGAUCGAGACCAUCCUGGCUAACACGGUGAAACCCCGUCUCUAUUAAAAAUACAAAAAAAUUAGCCGGGCUUGGUGGUGGGCGCCUGUAGUCCCAGCUACUCGGGAGGCUGAGGCAGGAGAAUGGCCUGAACCCGGGAGGCGGAGCUUGCAGUGAGCCGAGAUCGCGCCACUGCACUCCAGCCUGGGUGACAGAGCGAGACUCUGUCUCAAAAAAAAAAAAAAAAAAAAACCAAGACUAAGAGGUGUGGUGAUCUGGCUAGGAAGGAAGCCACAGUUGGGAGUUGGAGGCUCUAAGUAACAGCAGAGCCCCUUACAGCCUGCGAGAUCCAUGCUGGAUCUUGGUUUGUUUUUCAACAAACGGGUGUUGUUUUCUCAAAUUCACUCCAAGAG